GGGGUUGUAACUCAGUGGUAAAGUGCUUGCCUAGCAUGUGUGAGGCACUGAGUUCAAUCCUCAGCACCACG
rnacentral:tRNA from 1 species